AUUGAACGCUGGCGGCAGGCCUAACACAUGCAAGUCGAGCGGACGAAGGGGGCUUGCUCUUGGAUUCUGUGGGCGGCGGGCAAGUGAUGCAUAGGUAUCUGACCGGCCGUGGGGGCUGAGGUCAGGUAGCGGGACCUGAUCUCGUAUACGAUAUGAGUGUGAAAGUGGGGGAUCUAAAGUCCUCAAGCUACCUGCUGUGACUUGGUCGGAUUAGCUAGUUGGUGGGGUAAAGGCCUACCAAGGCGACGAUGCAUAACUGGUCUGAGAGGGUGAUCAGCCACACUGGAACUGAGACACGGUCCAGACUCCUACGGGAGGCAGCAGUAGGGAAUAUUGCGCAAUGGGCGAAAGCCUGACGCAGCCACGCCGCGUGUGUGAAGAAGGUCUUCGGAUUGUAAAACUCUGUAAUUUGGGAAGAACAUAAGUGAAAGAAUAUCUUGCUGUCUUGACGUUACCUACAGAGAAAGCACCGGCUAACUACGUG
rnacentral:rRNA from 1 species